rnacentral:misc_RNA from 1 species
GAUGAAGAACGCAGCGAAAUGCGAUACGUAAUGUGAAUUGCAGAAUUCAGUGAAUCAUCGAAUCUUUGAACGCACAUUGCGCUCUCUGGUAUUCCGGAGAGCAUGCUUGUUUGAGUAUCAGUAAACACCUCAACUCCUUUAUUGUAGUUGGACUUGAGCUAUCCCAACAGGACUUUUUGUUCCUGGCGGGAGGCUUGAAAUGCAGGUGCAGCUGGACUUUCUUCUGAGCUAUAAGCAUAUUUAUUUAAUCCCUUAACACGGAUUAUUACUUUUUUGCUGCAGCUAACAUAAAGGUUGAAUUUCCAUUGAGCUGACUGAUGCAGGAAUUUGGCAAGGAAUUUUUUUAAUGACUUGUUAAACUCGAUCUCAAAUCAAGUAAGACUACCCGCUGAACUUAAGCAUAUCAAUAAGCGGAGGA